ACAGACCAAUCAGAACAGACGCCUGUGCAGACGUGGUGCCUGCACACUAGGACCCAGGGUCUACAUGGUGCAGGCUGUGCGUGGGGUUUCAGGUCCUGGCCAACUUUAAGAAGCUUCUUGGCUCUGUCUGCUCAGGCAGAGGAAUCUCAUUCCCGGGGCCGAAUUGGCCUCCAGACGUGUCUUGCUAGCCUGCCCGAAGCCUUCCUCUCCCUCCAUCUUCCUCCCUACCUCCUUGCUUCCCUCCUUCGCCCUUUCCCUGCCUUUGCCUCUUCCCCUUCUUCCUUUCUUUCCCUCUUUUCCCACACUUUGGAAAACCCCUCCGUGAAAGGCUUCCAUGGGGGGCGUCCUCCUCUUGAAGACCCCCCAACCUCCGUCAUGGCCACGCUUCGGACUCCCCCGAGUCCUGCCAUUUCAGACCAAAGCCCCUUCUCUUUCAUCUCUUUUCCGUGCAGACUCCCUGUCCCAGAGACCAUUUUCUUCAGGCCCAGAUUGGGUCCCGUCCCGAGAGAGACCACUGUGUCUUUCAAUUAGAGGUUUCAGAAGACUCAAUACUGUAAUAGGCAGGAGGGAAUCCUGGUGGGAUUUCAGGCACGGUGAUGGACUGAUUACUUGGGUUAUGUGAAGCCAGUGUUUGGAUCCAGGGAAAAUCGAAUCAAUCUAUAUUUGGGAUCAACAGGGAGGAUUCAAUACCUUCCUCCAGGCUGUCACUUUUAUAGGAAGCAGAAGUGUCUGCCUGUUCUGCACCCCGAGGGCCUUUGAGGAGAAAAGUGGAUUUUCCUGCAGUGAAGGACAGGGGUGGCUGUGGUUGGAGCUGAGAAGUGGGGUCUCUGCAGCCUGGAGCCAUCACAUCCCUUCCCACACACCAAGCUGCAUCAGCAAAUGGGGUGAAUGCCAGGAGCUGUUUCUUUCUCUGGAAGGGCUUUCAGCACAAGGUGAAGCAUGAAGGGCUGCUCAAGCAAGGGGGUGUUUUAUUAAAGACAGGAGGGCUCAAACUGGCCGCUCGAGGGCUGAAACUUGGAAAUAGAUGUGGGUUUUGUUUUUGUUUUCCUGAUGUGGUGUUUUUAUAAUUUUGACUUAAGACAUUCAUUCUUAAAAACCAGCAUAUUUCAUUUCCAAAUUGUGAUUUGGGGUUUGUCUUGAAAAUUCAGACACUCUGGUCCUAGUGGUCCUUGUGGGACCAUGUGUCCUGCCUGGUCACCUGUUGACUGGAGCUGAGGAGUGGCCACUGCCUUUAGGCUAAGUGCCAGCACACUCCUUCACCUGACCUGCUCGGCUCUAAGAUGGCCCUGUCCAGGUGAGCCUGGCCAGUGCUGGCCUCUUUGCUCUGGAUCUUCCGCUCUGGAGUUGCCACGGCGAUGUCAGCUGAGGGAGGAACUGGUGACCAGGAGUUGCUGUGCUGACCAACAGAGCAUUGAGAGGUGGGUGAACCCCUGUGGCUGAUGAGUCUCUUGAACUCCUGGUUCUCUGCUCCCUCUGAGCCUCAGUUUCUUCAUCUGUCAAAUGGAGCUGACUUGGAUAUGGUCCCUUGGUGAGGAUUGUGUCAGGGGCUGCUCAGGAAGCCAAAGGUGGGAUGGAGUAUGUCGGCCACUUUGUGAUUUUAUCUAAAUUUAACUGUUUAUAUAUUUGCUAUCCUCCUGCACCAGUGGAGCACCCCGAGAGCUGGAGUCACAUGCAUCCUGCUGCUGUGUCCCAGUGUCUGGCCCAGUGGUGCCAGGGUCUAUGAACCACAGCUAAAUUAAAGAAAGAAGGCUCAUAACCAUCAGAGCCAGGACCCCACACCCCAGCUGUGUGGGCCAAAGCACGUCCUCUAACUGUGCCUCUCAGCACAUGCUCUGCAUCUGGUUUUGUUUCAGGGCUGGGCUGGAUUGUUGAGGACUGAGAGGCUUCGACUGCCACAUUUGGAGUCAGACAUCCUCACCUGCCCCCCGUGGACCUGGAAGCCUGCUGUACUUGCCUAGUGGCCAUCUCUGGAAGUCAGCAUCUCUCAGAGCCUCAGUUUCCUUCUCUGAGAAAAGGGACGUUUACACCCUAAUGUAAACUUUCAGGGGAUAGAUGCGGUGCUCUGUUUGUCCAGAAGGUGGUGCCAUGGACCAUGUAAGUGCCCAGAGCUUGCAGUUGCUUAAGUCUGAGUCCUGGGUCCUGCCUUCCUGGUCUCCAACCCAAAGACAAGUUCCUGGGAGCCCACAUUUGGGAUGGAGGCAUCCUGGAGGCAGGGCCUGAGACUAUCUGGGUGAUGGCUACUGGCCCCUGCCCUUCUGGGUUUGGCCUGACUUGGUGUGAAUAUUUUCUCUAGUAAACAUUAAAUUUUUUUCUUUCUUAUUUUGAUCUCUUUGCCCUCCAUUUUCUUUCCUUCCUAGCUUUUCUGUUUUUUUUUUUUUUUCUUUUUCUUUGUGCUAUAAUAAUACACCUGUGAGCUGGACUCUAUGUUUAUAUUCUUUUCUCUUGUGUGCUUUUCCUUCUCUCCUUUCUUUCUUCUCUAGCAAUUGGAUAUAUGAGGAGGAUGUGGAAGACCCUUGUAAACUGUAAAGUGAAAUGUUCGUGAGGUCUCUGAUCGGGAAGCUGCAAUUACUAACUUGCACCUUACCCUGGCCGGGAAGCCCCGACUUUCAUGGAAACACUGACCACCAGGUGGCGCUGUGGGCCAGACCGUCGUGGCUGAGUGUCAGAGUAACUGCAGGGGCUUAAGUCCCCGAACUUUAGAGGCUUUAAGAGGAGGGGUGUCAGAAAGCCUAGCUCAAAGCUGCCCCUCUUGGCACUAGUAACACCCCCUGGAGGAUGGUGAGUGGUCAUGAGGGUAGCAGGGCCCAAGUUAAGGGUCCUCUGAUGUGCUUUGUGACCCUGGACAGGGCCCUGUCCGCCUCUGUGUCUCGGUUCUCCCACCUUUGAUGAGAGAACAUACAACUCACUUCCUCAGAAAGGACCUGUUACCUUCUAGCCAGCCUCUCCCAGAAUUCUCUGAAGGACCAAUAGGAACGUUCAAAAUCUCUCACAUGUGUUGAACACUUAGUACCUAUGGGGCACUUGGCUAAAAGGCAUCAUGUCACAUAAUCCACUUGCCAGCCCUUCCCCAAAGGAGGAGGAAAUGGGCUCAGAUAGUGAAGUGACUUACCCGUGAUCACACAGCUCAGAAAUACUGGUGACUCCAGGGCCAAGGUAGCAAGAUUAUAUUUAGCAAGUGGGAAAUGCAGUGGUCACCGGAUUUCAUGGAGUUUCUGCCCAAGUGCACCAUGGGAAAAUCUGGCUUUGCUCCUAGAACCUGGCAGAAAUGGGGGCAAUGCAGAUGAAGGGAUGAAGAGGUUGCCUUCCUAAGGAAAGGAUGGCUAUUGUAAAGGAGAAGGUGCUUUGUUUCCUUCUUGCCGUGGGUGCUGCCCCAGGGCCUUUGCAUGUGCUGUUCUCCUCAUGCUUUGUUCCUUCAUUCAGGAUGGCUCAAAUAUCACCACAUCCUCCAUCCUUUCCUAUUACCCUCUUUCCCUCACCCUUUUAUUUUUCUCGCCUGGCAGAAUCUGUCGUGUCUGUGUGUUCACUUUCUGUCUCUGCACUUCAAGUGCAGAGAUUCUUGUGUGUCUCACUUACCAGGGACCCUGGGCUCAUCAGAAUGCCAUGGAAGGGCCUUCUAACAACAGCAGCCUCCUGAGUCCCUGACAGUCUCCCCUCUGACACAAAGGCUACAGUUGCCAGAGGGGGGCUGGUCACAUCAGUGCUGAGAGCCAUGCAGGGGCUCUGGGCAGCUCCUACCUUGUGUCCCAAAUAAUGUGCCUGUCGCCAAGGCGGAGGGAGAGGAAACCCACCUGAGGCCUGGCAGAAUGGGAACAGCCGCAGAUAUGCACAGCAGCUGUGCCUUGAGCACCUACUAUGGUGCUGCGUAGGACAUGUUAGCACAGGGCUCGGGCAGUCCUUGUUGGCAUUAGAGGAGUGAAUCAAUAAAUGUGUGGCCAUGGCCCGGAGGGCAUCUCAGUCCCCUUGGUUAGCAUUCCGAUCACUGACCCUCACCAGUUCUUAUGCUGACUGUGAAAAGAAGACAGUUAUCAGUCCCAUUUUACAGAUGAGAAGACAGAGUCUAAGGGCAUUCAAUGACCUGCUCGAGGUCAUGUGGCCUUGGAGUUUGAACCAAGGGUGACUGAUGCCAGCUCUCCCGUUGUUUCACCACCAGCACAGCUCAGCCUCCUGGGCAAGCCAGACAGCCAGCAGGGGACUCCGACGUUUCCAGCCUUACCCCCCACGCCCGCCUCACUGCCUCACUGCGGUGGCUAUCAGCUGCUGGGGCUUCUCUCUGUUCCCCAGCUUCUCUGGUCUCGUUCCCACUGCAGGAACUUUGCACUCGCUCUUGUCUCUGCCUGGAACCCUCUUCCUGGCUGCCUACUUCCCCCAUAUUCAGGUCUCAGUCGGAACCACCUCCUCUGAGAAGCCUUCUUGACUGAGUGAGAAUAGCAUCACUUACUGACUCCCCAACACAGCAUGCUGUUUCCUUCUGCUGUGGCGUGAACCCCAGCUUUUGCUUUUGUGUUUUCAAACCCAUGUACUGUCUCUCUUCUCCAAAAGACUGCAGGGCCCGUGAGGGCAGGAGCAGUGUCCCAGCUCCGAGCACAAUGGCUGGUGCCCAGGAGGUGUUGGCUCUGGUGGAGUGAAUGAGGGAGGAAUCCAGCCAAUAUACAGCCCUCCCCUGGGAGAGGUGUUGACGCUAGUUUGACCGUCAGGUUUUGGAGAGUCCACGAUUGUGUCUCACCGCUAGUUGUGACAGUUCUGGCCCUGACCAGCCUCCCUCGAAACCUUUCUGCUCUAUCCCUUUCCCUCACUGGCAAUUGCCCGCCGAGCUGCCACGCUCACCAGAGCCUCAGGUCCCUUGCAGGAAACCAGGAUGGAGCUCAGUGUUCCCACAAGAAUGUUCUACCAUCAGGUGGGGUCUGAGUCACUGAGUACUGGGUCUGAUUGGCAGGAGGCUGCUGAUGCUGCAAAGCCACCUGGGGCUGAGGAUACCCAGCAUGUCCAGAAUGUGCUUACCCAGCACUCUGGCACACACGAGGUCUGCACAAACCAUCGUAUGGAGCUUCUCUCCAUUGCCCUUCGCAGAUACUGCAUUUUUUUUUUCUAACAAAUGGAAGCUUUGUGGCAACCCGGCAUUGUCAGGUGAUGGUUAUUGUUUUUAGCAAUAGAAUAUUUUUAUUUUUAAAUUUAUUUUUAAUUAGUGUAGUUAAUUUACAAUGUUGUGUCAGCAAUAGAGUUUUGUUUUUGUUUUUGUUUUUUUUUAAUUUUUGUUUUUUUCCGUUUUUGACCACCCUGUGGCAUGUGGAGUUCCUGGGCCAGGGAUCAGAUCCAAGCCGCAAUUGCAACCCAGGCUGCAGCUGUGGCAAUGCCGGAUCCUUAACCCACCGUGCUGGCCCAGGGAUGGAAGCUGAGUCCCAGUGCUCCCAAGAUGCUGCCGAUCC
rnacentral:lncRNA from 1 species